rnacentral:rRNA from 1 species
GUCUACGGCCAUAACACCCUGAAUGCACCCGAUCUCGUCUGAUUUUGGAAGCUAAGCAGGGCCAAACCUGGUUAGUACUUGGAUAGGAGAAUCUAACUAAUGUAGGUG